rnacentral:rRNA from 1 species
UACGGGGGGGGCAAGCGUUGUUCGGAAUUACUGGGCGUAAAGGGCUCGUAGGCGGCCAACUAAGUCGGAUGUGAAAUCCCCAGGCUUAACCUGGGAACUGCAUCCGAUACUGGAUGGCUUGAAUCCGGGAGAGGGAUGCAGAAUUCCAGGUGUAGCGGUGAAAUGCGUAGAUAUCUGGAGGAACACCGGUGGCGAAGGCGGCAUCCUGGACUACUACUGACGCUGAGGAGCGAAAGCCAGGGGAGCAAACGGG